AGGAUUCGUGGUUUUCACCCACGCGGCCCGGGUUCGAUUCCCGGCAUGGGAA
rnacentral:tRNA from 1 species